CGGCGGACGGGUGAGUAACGCGUGGGUAACCUGCCUCAUACAGGGGGAUAACAGUUAGAAAUGACUGCUAAUACCGCAUAAGACCACAGCACCGCAUGGUGCGGGGUAAAAACUCCGGUGGUAUGAGAUGGACCCGCGUCUGAUUAGCUGGUUGGUAAGGUAACGGCUUACCAAGGCGACGAUCAGUAGCCGACCUGAGAGGGUGACCGGCCACAUUGGGACUGAGACACGGCCCAA
rnacentral:rRNA from 1 species